rnacentral:rRNA from 1 species
GCCAGACUCCUACGGGAGGCAGCAGUGGGGAAUAUUGCACAAUGGGGGAAACCCUGAUGCAGCGACGCCGCGUGAGCGAUGAAGUAUUUCGGUAUGUAAAGCUCUAUCAGCAGGGAAGAAGAUGACGGUACCUGACUAAGAAGCCCCGGCUAACUACGUGCCAGCAGCCGCGGUAAUACGUAGGGGGCAAGCGUUAUCCGGAUUUACUGGGUGUAAAGGGAGCGUAGACGGCAGUGCAAGUCUGGAGUGAAAGCCCGGGGCUCAACCCUGGGACUGCUCUGGAAACUGUAAAGCUGGAGUGCGGGAGGGGCAGGCGGAAUUCCUGGUGUAGCGGUGAAAUGCGUAGAUAUCAGGAGGAACACCGGCGGCGAAGGCGGCCUGCUGGACCGUAACUGACGUUGAGGCUCGAAAGCGUGGGGAGCAAACAGGAUUAGAUACCCUGGUAA